CUGAGCUGGGCCAGUCAGAUCAUCUCAUGGGAAUUGGAAGCCUAAACGAAUAGAGGCAUCCAGCAGUGACAAGGGAGAGGAGUCCAGAGCCCUCCCAGGUCCAGAGGGACCCAGAACGCAGCCACCCUAAGUCACCCAGGGACAAAUCCGCACUGGACUGCAUCCAGUGGUCCACCUGCUUGACUCCAGAGUGCCAUCGCUACUGCUCCUUGCCAACUCCCUCUUGGAAGAAGCACAGAUGGACUCCUGUCUGUAACGAAAAGGAUAACAGAAAGCUGGAUGUCAGACGAGAGGCCUGGACCCAGGUCAGAAGUCCUGCAUUCAGGUCCUUUCAAGUCCCAGCUCUGCCUUGGAUCUGUGCAAACUUGAAAGUCAAACAUCCGGCCACGCCCUGGAUCUGAAGAAGAAUCCAUCCACGAGACUUAGGAGUCCAGGCAGGGCUAGGAGGAAAUGCAAUGACAUAUCAUCAGGGGUGUUUUCAUAUUCUCUGCCAGUUACGAGGGAGGAAUCCAAUGAAACACCAGAGCUACCUGCAGAGGAUGCUCUAUGUGCUGCAGAACCUGAACACAGGUGGUUCCCUGGGAGAGAAUGGAAGAUGGGUUAGAGCAAACGAUGGGAAGAAGUUGUAAGCUGUGGUGCUGAGACAUUUUCUGGGGGGCUCUCCCACAUGCAUUGGCUUGUUCUUCUCAGACUGGAAAUACAACCCACUGGAAAUUUCCCACUCGGGAAAGAGGCACUGAGAAGGAAGCGUAAGGGGGAAGGUAGAUGCAAUGCAGAAGAUAGAUGCCAAAGUCAGGCGACUUGGGUCCUGCCCACAGCUCUGCUGUUGUCUAGCUGGGUGAGGCUGGAGAUGGACACCUGCAUUUUUCCUCUUGAGAAUUCCACUGUGUCCUCUGGCACUGCCCUUGACUGGCCCCCUGGUUCUUCUUCUCUGUCUCUCUACAUGUAGCUACAUCAGCGUCAACUGUAAUAAGAGUCCAGCCUGAGCAGAAGACGCAGCCAGCAGUUGGGGCUGGGUGACCAGGCUGGGGUCAGAAAUACAGAAGUCAUGGUCUACGGGAUUCAGCAAAUUGAAAAGAAAGUCAGGAGCACAGAGAUCAAAAUCAAGUUGUCAAGUCAGAGUGAUAAGCUUCGGGAAGGGGAUAGCAAACUAUAUAGUCCACGGGUCAAUUCUGGUCUGUGCCUAUUGUAUAAAUAAAAUUUUAUUGAAACACA